rnacentral:rRNA from 1 species
CCGAAUUUCAUGCUGAGAACGCUGGAUAAGGGGAACCGAGUGCCCACAUUUUUGGUUGCUUUCCCCCCUGCUAAAACCAGGGGAUAGCAAGGGCCGGGCAAGACCGGUGCCAGCCGCCGCGUUAAUACCGGCGGCCCGAGUGGUGAUCGUUAUUAUUGGGUCUAAAGGGUUCCUGCCGGGUUUAGUAAAUUCUCUGGGAAAAUCCGACGGGUCAAACCAUGGGCGUUCGGGGAUACUGCCAGCCUGGGACCGGAGAGAAGAACCAG